rnacentral:rRNA from 1 species
GACGAACGCUGGCGGCGUGCCUAAUACAUGCAAGUCGAGCGAAUGGAUUAAGAGCUUGCUCUUAUGAAGUUAGCGGCGGACGGGUGAGUAACACGUGGGUAACCUGCCCAUAAGACUGGGAUAACUCCGGGAAACCGGGGCUAAUACCGGAUAACAUUUUGAACCGCAUGGUUCGAAAUUGAAAGGCGGCUUCGGCUGUCACUUAUGGAUGGACCCGCGUCGCAUUAGCUAGUUGGUGAGGUAACGGCUCACCAAGGCAACGAUGCGUAGCCGACCUGAGAGGGGGAUCGGCCACACUGGGACUGAGACACGGCCCAGACGCCUACGGGAGGCAGCAGUAGGGAAUCUUCCGCAAUGGACGAAAGUCUGACGGAGCAACGCCGCGGGAGUGAUGAAGGCUUUCGGGUCGUAAAACUCUGUUGUUAGGGAAGAACAAGUGCUAGUUGAAUAAGCUGGCACCUUGACGGUACCUAACCAGAAAGCCACGGCUAACUACGUGCCAGCCGCCGCAGUAA